UUUAUUUUAUUCAUUCUGGGGGCUUUCACAGCUUUAUGGCUGUUGGAUAUCUAUGUCCCCAAACUUGCAGCAAGUUUGGUGAAGGCCCCUAAAUUUAAUUUAAUUUAGGAUUUUUAUAAUCUUUUGGUAGAUGGGCUCUAUAUUAAUAUUCAUACUUAUUGGCUGUGGUGUUUUUGAAGAGGUUGGGGGGAAGGGAUAUUUAAGAUCGAUGUGGAUGCAACUUUUUUCCCUUUAUCCUUCAGCCAUUUCCCUUUUUUCCAAAUUCCAUGCACUAUUUUUUUGACAGUAAUAUUUAAUAAUGGAACUACAUGUAGCUUAUAUGAACACAUCUGUUGGGUGAUGCUGUUGCCUUUUCUGGGGAAAUGUAUUGAAUGCUACUUACUUGAAAUCCAGAAAUUUUAUUAUAACACUUUAAAUCCGUUUAGUUAUUAGGCCUACAGUAUUAAUUAUAAGAAUAUUAGUCAGAGCUGGAGGCAUAAAAUUAGCUGUAUUUAUAGAACCCUGAAUAAUAAUUUUCCAUAAAAGGAAGGAUAUAGUGAUAUACUUAAUAUUUUUGUUUUCACAUGUUAUACCAUGAAAGUUACACCAGAAGAGUAAAUAUUAAUGUAGAGCCCUGCAAAGAAGAAAUACAGAUUUGAGUUGGUAAAUAGAAAAAAGGAAUGAGAAAUUGAAGUUGUAGAUUUUGCAAAAAUGUCAGUUUGAAAGAUUUCCUUUUCAUCAGCCUCUUUUUUAAAAAGGCAUAAUAUUGUAAAGUUUGGUGUAUUGCACCAUGUAUUCUAAAAUCAUGGCAUUCAUUGCGAAUUUUGAGGGAUUUUUCAAUGUAACUUAACAUGUUUAAUAACUACCGUUACCAUAUCAACAGUAUUGAAGAUAAAACUGUACUCUUAUUUAGAAAAUGAGAACUUUACUAUCCUUAAAUAAUUUUAAAUUACUGUUUGAGCGGACUGCCCUUUUGCCUUUUUCUUGCGAAAGCAUUUGAUACCUAGACAAUUUCAGCCUGAGAAUAGGUUUUGUUCCUGUGUAAUCUGACUGCCUCUUGGCAGCAUUUGACUCUUACAAUUUCCAAAUUAAAAAAAUUAAUGUUUGCUAGGUUAUUUGAAAUUGCUGCAGCAGAUGAGUUUUUAAAGACAGUUUUUGAUGCACCAUAGAAACCGUUCAAUUUCUUUAACGUUUCCUUAAGUAAUGGUUAACUUGUAUGGCUUUCACAAGUCUGGUUGUGGCUCACAUUGUCUUUAAUACAAUUGACUGUCACCUACAAGAGUGGAACGUGUUCCUUCUGCCCUGUUGCUUUCCCCCUUUGGAACUCCUGCCCAACUUCCCCACACUCACAUUCUGAACCCCUUCUGGGUUUCUGAUCCUUCCUGGUGAGCUCCAGAAACUAGUUCUAAUCCUCACUAAUGCCCAAAUUUGUGAGACCUACGCACUGAAUGUUAACUGUAUUCAAGUAAUUGUUGAGCAAUUUGUGUUAUAUUCCUUAUUCUGUCAGUUUGAUGUUACCAUUUAUAACACUACAAGACAAUACUACAGUAACUAGCAUUUUUAUACUAAAUUUAUUCAAGUUUUAAGAGCACUGUCACUGUCUUGUCUCCUUAUUUGCAUAAACUGGUCACAGGCAAGAGUUUUCUUGCAGAAGAGAAUUGAAUAAGUAGUGUGUUGUAUGUGUUGCUACAGGUAUCUGAAUCAUUCUGUUAAGACUCAAUUAAUGAAAAGAGCCAGAGAUAUUUAGUGUUUAAUAUUCAUUAUUGAUUCAGUCUGCCUUAUAUCACCAUUUAAUAGACUGACACUAAAUAGUUUCCAUCCAAAUAUUUGCAUUUGGUUUGGUAAGUCUUCAGGUGUAUUUUGUAGUAGAAAUGUUCAAAUGUAGAUUAAUGUAUACCCUCCCCCUUGUCCAUAGUGUACAUUUGUACAAAGAUGAGUAUCCUUCUUUGAUCCACACUUGGGUUAUAUCCAAUAAACAUAUAUUCCUUGUGGCAGUUAAAUGUUCAGUGUCAUACUCAAACCAUCAAUUUGUUUUCACCUUUGCAUUGUUUGAAGAUACUAGUUUAAGAUGGUCAUGAGAAAUCACUUACUUGCACUUCCUAUUUCUGUUGUGCUAAUGCUCUUAAUAUAAUUUAAAUGUUUCUUCACCAUGCCAAAAAAACCUGAUGAUUCUCUUGUAUCUAUCUUGUGAAAUGAGACUAAGUACUGUAGUUCGUUCCUCCCCUAUCACUGUAGGGAUAUUUUCUUUUCUGCACUAGUUAUUCUCAUGUAAAUUUGAGAACAUACUUCUUGGAAUCCUAGUAGAAACUUUCAUCUGGAGGAAGACUAAUCGCUUUGCUAUCUACUUCCGAAAGAUGUACUCAGUGGCACUCCAGAAUAAUUCUGUAGGAUGUUGUGUGUAUUUGAGCUUCCUUUGCUAUAAUUUUCAAUUCAAUGCAUUUCAAGUGGUAUCGGAAAUCUCAAGUUGGUCUUCAGACACAAGCUUCGCUUCUCCCUUUCUCCCUGUUCCUGCCUCCCUCUAAGGGAGUUUUAUGAUUUUCAAAAGUUUCUCGUUUUGAGAUUUCAGUAAAAAUUUGAAGUUCAUAGGUCUCAGUGACUUCAGCAGGCAUGCCAAUAUUAUCUUAAUUCAGUGCCACAGUUGAUGUCCAUGUAUUAAUUUGAAAGCAACAAGAGAGCAGUUUGCAUUUGUUUUAAAUAUUCAGUGGUGAUAUGUGACCUAUAAAAGGUAGAGAGGCUUUGCUUUCUUUCUAACCACCCAUAAUGGCACACUGCUUUACAUUAUUUAAUUUAAUAGUUUUUCCUCAGCUCCUAGAUCAACUGACCAAUCUUAAGUGUUUCAAAAAGAUCUCUGAACACAAAUCUAGUUCUGAAGAAAAAAAUCUUGCUCCUAGUGUGAAGCUUGUCUGACACCCUUGAGUGUGGAUCUAAGGAGGAUAUUGCCAGGAAAAACUUAAAUUGUAAACAAGAAAUUCCCUAAUUCAAAGUAGUGUGAACUUACUGAUACCCUGUGUGUCACAAAGUUGCUCCAUUUCUGGCUUCCGUGUCUUUUCCCAAAGGCUCUUAAGAAUCACUUUAAAAUAUUACUCUUAUUUUCCUACAUUCUAAUGGAAGCAUUAGGUAUUAUUCCAUUUAAAGCUACAAGGACCUAUAUUUCAUGGACAAGAAAUGCUAUAAUGUUAAACUGCUAAAUCAGGUGAACUUGCGCAUAUCUCUCGUUACAUGCAAGGUAAAUAAUAGGAGUGGCAAAGUACAUGCCAUGCGUUAAGUUCUUGGAUGCUUUAGAAUGCUGUGAUGUUUGCCUUAUACAGAACACUUUGUAUAUUAGUAUUAAAUGCUGUCCCUUAAGUGCUGUGGAAAAUACUUAAUUCCAGUGUGCCUAUUUUCAAAAUGAUUUCACUAAAGCAGGGUUUCUCAAACUCCAUUGCAUCAUGACUGCCUUCUGACAACAAAUUACUACAUGACCCCAGGCAGGGGGACCGAAGCCUGAGCCAAAACCAAAGUUUGACCCCUGCUGUCCGGGGAUGGGGCAGGCCGAGGAGGAGGCAAAGCCGAAGCUUGAGGGCUUCAGCCCUGGGUGGUGGGGCUCUGACUUCGGCUUCAGCCCUGGACCCCAGCAAGUCUAAUGCCAGCUCUGGCGACCCCAUAAAAACGGGGUCGUGACCCACUUUGAGGUCCCAACCCACAGUUUGAGAACCACUGCAUUAAAGUAACUAGGAUUUUCUAUAGUCCAGUGAUUCUCAACCUAUUUACCAUUGUGGGCUGCAUCCAGUACUACCAGUAUGGCCCUGAGGAUAUCACAUGGGCUGCAGCUCUGUGCUGAUUGGGCCACAGGUUAAGAACCAUUGCGAUAGCCAAUCUGGAGAAAAGCAGUUAGUGGGUUUAGUGGCCUCUUUCUGCCACAAAUGUAGUGGUGGUCCAUUUUUGUGUUUGCCAUAAAAACUUGUCCAGAUAUUAGUUCAGGAGUGAGGAUAGUUGCUUUGGAAAUAGACCUUGUUGAGUUUUUGUGUUUGUGCAAAACACAUUUAAUCAUCUGACUGUUGUGAUUCAGUAAAAAUACAUUGCUCAGAUGGCAGCUCUCUGCAGAUCUCUACCCCAUCAGAAUAGGAAGUAGAUAAGAAUAAUCACAGCUAGAAUGAAUACUGGUAUCAUGUUUCUGCUAGUGUAUCUGCAGUUUAACUGCAACAUCAUUGCUGGCCAAGUGACCUACGUAUACUGAGGACCUCUAUGCAAGAGAGCCAGACUUUUAAUCCACAAUUUCUUGAUCCGUUGGCUAACACAGACUUGAAAUACAACAGACUCCUCAGGGUGGUUACAAUUUGUGCGCCUCACUUCUCAACCCAACUUUUUUCUCAAGAGACGUGGAAGGAUCCACAGUCAGGAGUCCUGACCAGUCCUUGAUUGGCCAGAUGGUCCCCACGUAAAGCCUGAGAGUAAAGGAGGAAAAGGUGAACUACCAGUUGGAUUUCCACUACAACAUCCACAUUUCAUUCAGGUCGUCAGACACAGUGUAGUGUUGUUAAGAUCCAGGCUUUUUAUUCAGCCUUAAUUCAAAUUCUGUCUAGUAGGAUGGUAUAUCUUGAAUGCUGGGAUACUCCACACUUCUCUGCAAGUCUGUGCACCAGUUCUUUUGAUUUCUCCAACCAUCUAUCUCCCUAGCAGAAAACUCUAGUUUUAAUAGUACCAUUUUUAAAUGGUGCUGAACUCAUCUUAAAACACUGGUAAUGAGCUCAUCUCAAGGUUUGUCUUGACUAGGAAUUAAAAGGUAAGACCAACAGCUGGUGACAGUGUAGCAUUCUCUUGUAUAAGUUCAUGUUUGAUGUAAUAGAUGAUCAUUUCAGGCUUCCUAGAAUAGCAAGUUAAGAAAUCUGAUUUUUGAGGCCAUGGGAUUUUUUCCCUCUCCCCUCCUUUAUAGGGUGUGUAGAGAGAAGACACAUUGUGGCAGGGAAGUUAAUAGGUCAGAUGAGGUAUGUGUUGCCUCAGGGUUUCCUUUUUGUUUUUGCUAUAUCAGUAUAAAUUUUAAUCACAUUUCAAGAGUAAUUCUUUUUAAAUUGAAUUACACAUCUGCUGUUCCUACUAGAACUGUGUUAACUAGUCCCAACUUCAACCUCUUGGUUUUGAAUGUGGGAAUUUUCAUCAUACCUAAGAACAGCCCACAUAUACUCAAAGGAAUCCAUUUCUCUGUUCCCUGAUUUAUGAAUCACACACCAAGACAAAGUAAAACUGAUUUCACAAACAACUUCACCUCUAUUGCCUCAGUGAAGCAGGUGAAAUUUGAGAAAAUAAUAAGUGUACCCAAUCUAUUUUCACUGAGUGCUCUUUAACAGGGUCACUCUUGCAACUACAACUUGUAAUCCCUUAACAUUCAGGUUUGUCCAAGAGGUAUUUAUCAUAUUACACUUGUCUGGUACAUGAGUCAGAAAAGUUUGAAUCAAAUUUAAAGGCAAAUUAACCAUAAUUUUAUAGCUGCCUUUAGUCCAUUUCUUUUUUUAAAAAGGGACAUUGUACCAAUUGAGGUUUGAAAAAAAAAUUUUAAAUGAGAACUAAAUUAUGGAUAAACUCCUUGAUUUAAUACAACUUGUGUUUUUGUUAACUAGCAGCAGAAUUUCAGCAUUUGCUACUUACUGGUAGAGAAGAAAAAUCCCACAGCACUGCCAGUACAGGUUAGUUUAAUCUCAUUCAGUUGACAGAGAAGUGUUGAAGACCAUAUGGAACCAAGAACAAUGAAUCAAACUUGCAUUCUGUGUGUUCUUAUGAGGCUCAUAUUUCUUCAGGAAUGGGAAAUUGGAUAUAUAUACUUCCAUAAUAUGUAUCUAUUUAAUUCUGACUUUCUCUAAUGAUUAAACUUAGUAAUUUAAUAAAUGAA